ensembl:lncRNA
CAUUUGUGUAUAGAAAGGCUUUCACAUCCCCAAAAUGAGAGGGAUGCUCACUAAUCUGAGAGUGAUGGUAACACCUGGGAAAAAAUCAAGAGCACAAGAUUAGAAAAUACCAUAAAAGAAGUCUGAACAAAGCAUUAACAUUUGUUCACUCUGGCAGACAGGCGUGGCAGCUUGCUAGCUUAUUAAAUGAAUCUAUCCUCGUCCAUGUAUUCCAGAUAGCUCAUAAUGAUCAAGGAAAGGAAACGUGCUAAACUGGUGGAUUGAGGAGACUGUAUCUUGGACAGUGAGAUUUGUAAGUCACAGUGUGGGGAGGCUCCAGAGGCGACUUUCUUGGGACCCCACGAGUGAGGAAUUGGAGACACCUGACACGUGGUCCUCUUUGAUUCUACAAAGGCUGAAGAGUUGGGAAAUAUUAAUAUGUAUCAGAUUCUAUAUUAGUUAGGAACAGAGCUCAAACUGGCUUAGAUCAAAGGGGAGAUUUAAUGAUCCACGUCAAGGCGUCCUUGGGAGAUACUGAGGGCUCAGUUUUAGACCACUGCAAUAAAGCGAACAUCACAGGAAAGCAAUGAUGCUGUUAAAGUGCUACAUUCAAUAUACCAGCAAAUUUGGAAAACUCAGCAGUGG